AGAACGAACGCUGGCGGCGUGGAUAAGACAUGCAAGUCGAACGGGUUUAGUUUGGAGCAAUCUAAAAUUGAGCCAGUGGCGAACGGGUGCGUAACACGUGAGUCAUCUGCCUAGAAGUGGGGGAUAGCUCGCCGAAAGGCGAAUUAAUACCGCAUGUGGUCCGGCUUCGGCCGGACUAAAGCCGGGGCAACCUGGCGCUUUUGGAGGAGCUCGCGGCCUAUCAGCUUGUUGGUGAGGUAACGGCUUACCAAGGCAACGACGGGUAGCUGGUCUGAGAGGACGACCAGCCACACUGGAACUGAGACACGGUCCAGACACCUACGGGUGGCAGCAGUCGAGAAUUUUUCUCAAUGGGGGAAACCCUGAAGGAGCGACGCCGCGUGGAGGAUGAAGGCUUUCGGGUUGUAAACUCCUGUCAUUUGGGAACAAGUCUUACGUUAACUGCGUGGAGAUUUGAUAGUACCGAAGAGGAAGAGACGGCUAACUCUGUGCCAGCAGCCGC
rnacentral:rRNA from 1 species